rnacentral:rRNA from 1 species
UACGUAGGGUGCAAGCGUUAAUCGGAAUUACUGGGCGUAAAGCGUGCGCAGGCGGUUAUGUAAGACAGGGGUGAAAUCCCCGGGCUCAACCUGGGAACUGCAUUUGUGACUGCAUCGCUGGAGUACGGCAGAGGGGGGUGGAAUUCCGCGUGUAGCAGUGAAAUGCGUAGAUAUGCGGAGGAACACCGAUGGCGAAGGCAAUCCCCUGGGCCUGUACUGACGCUCAUGCACGAAAGCGUGGGGAGCAAACAGG